AAUUACCUUUAGGAGGGGGAUAACAAUUGGAAACGACUGCUAAUACCCCAUAUGCUUUUGAGUGAAAUGGAUUUAUAUUUACCCGCCUAGAGAGAAGCUCGCGGCUGAUUAGCUUGUUGGUAAGGUAAGAGCUUACCAAGGCGACGAUCAGUAUCUGGUUUGAGAGGACGAUCAGACACACUGGAACUGAGACACGGUCCAGACUCCUACGGGAGGCAGCAGUGGGGAAUUUUCCGCAAUGGGCGAAAGCCUGACGGAGCAAUACCGCGUGAGGGAAGACUGCCUAUGGGUUGUAAACCUCUUUUUUCAGGGAGGAAUAAAAUGACGUGUACCUGAAGAAUAAGCAUCGGCUAACUCCGUGCCAGCAGCCGCGGUAAGACGGAGGAUGCAAGUGUUAUCCGGAAUCACUGGGCGUAAAGCGUCUGUAGGUGGUUUAAUAAGUCAACUGUUAAAUCUUGAGGCUCAACUUCAAAAUCGCAGUCGAAACUAUUAGACUAGAGUAUAGUUAGAGGUAAA
rnacentral:rRNA from 1 species